GACGAACGCUGGCGGCGUGCCUAACACAUGCAAGUCGAGCGAGUGAAUCUCCUUCGGGAGUGAAGCUAGCGGCGGACGGGUGAGUAACACGUGGGCAACCUGCCUCAUAGAGGGGAAUAGCCUUUCGAAAGGAAGAUUAAUACCGCAUACGAUAGUAGCUUCGCAUGAAGUAGCAAUUAAAGGAGCAAUCCGCUAUGAGAUGGGCCCGCGGCGCAUUAGCUAGUUGGUGAGGUAACGGCUCACCAAGGCGACGAUGCGUAGCCGCACCUGAGAGGGUGAUCGGCCACAUUGGGACUGAGACACGGCCCAGACUCCUACGGGAGGCAGCAGUGGGGAAUAUUGCACAAUGGGGGAAACCCUGAUGCAGCAACGCCGCGUGAGUGAUGACGGCCUUCGGGUUGUAAAGCUCUGUCUUCAGGGACGAUAAUGACGGUACCUGAGGAGGAAGCCACGGCUAACUACGUGCCAGCCGCCGCGGUAAGAC
rnacentral:rRNA from 1 species